AUUGAACGCUGGCGGCAGGCCUAACACAUGCAAGUCGAACGAGCGGCGGACGGGUGAGUAAUGUAUGGGAAUCUGCCCGAUGGAGGGGGAUAACUACUGGAAACGGUGGCUAAUACCGCAUACUAUCAGAUGAGCCCAGAUGGGAUUAGCUAGUUGGUGGGGUAAAGGCUCACCAAGGCGACGAUCCCUAGCUGGUCUGAGAGGAUGACCAGCCACACUGGAACGGAGACACGGUCCAGACUCCUACGGGAGGCAGCAGUGGGGAAUAUUGCACAAUGGGCGCAAGCCUGAUGCAGCCAUGCCGCGUGUAUGAAGAAGGCCUUAGGGUUGUAAAGUACUUUCAGCGGGGAGGCGUUACCCGCAGAAGAAGCACCGGCUAACUCCGUGCCAGCAGCCGCGGUAAUAC
rnacentral:rRNA from 1 species